rnacentral:rRNA from 1 species
GUGAGGAAUUUUCCGCAAUGGGCGAAAGCCUGACGGAGCAAUGCCGCGUGAAGGAUGAAGGCCUAUGGGUUGUAAACUUCUUUUCUCAGAAAAGAAUUAUGACGGUAUCUGAGGAAUAAGCAUCGGCUAACUCUGUGCCAGCAGCCGCGGUAAGACAGAGGAUGCAAGCGUUAUCCGGAAUGAUUGGGCGUAAAGCGUCUGUAGGUUGUUUAAAAAGUAUUCUGUCAAAGAUUAGGGCUUAACCCUAGAUAGGCAGAAUAAACUUUUAAGCUAGAGUUUGGUAGAGGCAGAGGAAAUUCCCGGUGGGGCGGUGAAAUGCGUAGAUAUCGGGAGGAACACCAAAGGCGAAGGCACUCUGCUGGGCCAAUACUAACACUGAGAGACGAAAGCGAGGGGAGCAAAUGGGAUUAGAUACCCUAGUAGUCC